AUCUAGAGACCUUAAACAUUGUGACGUUUUUGUGGGUGGAGUUUAGGUGAGGCUGCAGCCUGCAGACCGCUUCACGCUGGCUAGUUACAUUUUGUUAGUUCGUUUUUUUUUUACAUUGACUGGACAAAAUCCGACUGUAUCUGCCUUUAUUUAAGGGGAAAUAUUGUCCAGGACCACGAAUGCUUUUUGAAAAAGUUAACUUUAAUGGGCGGAACCAGAUUGGACGACUCGCACACGCUCACUCAAUGGCUGGACAAUGUGACAGGAUUAUCAUCAAUUGAGUGGACAUCUACCCCAUAAUAAGAAAUUGAGGGAGUAUAAAUCAUUAGAUGCCUAUAAGCUAUAAAUAUGUCCUGGACACGUACAUGAAACGUGGCUGCAAACGGAGCGAGUGUGACAGCUGAGAAAAUCUGGUGGCAAAUGUCCACAAUCACCCAAUGGGAGGAGGUCGGUUUUAACAGCUGGUGUAGUGGAGGUCCACCUGGUAGUUUCUAGAAGCUCUCGAAAUCUGAAGAAAACUGGGGGAAGGCGUUCAACAAAACAUCCUGCAGCCUUUUGGCUCUACCCUGUUGAGCGAUGACGUCACACCGUCACGUGAUGUCAUGUCUGACCCCAGAGCUGCCAGUUUUGACGUAAGAUCUGUUUGCCGCUGAGAAGCAAAGCAGGGGGCGCUGUCGGCACAUGAAGAUCCAGAGGACUACAGAAGCAGGUGAUGAGGAGAGAUGAUGAAGAAUCUCAUGUUGCUUUUCA